CCUACGGGAGGCAGCAGUGAGGAAUAUUGGGCAAUGGAGGCAACUCUGACCCAGCCAUGCCGCGUGAGUGAAGAAGGUUUUCGGAUUGUAAAGCUCUUUCGGAUGUGACGAUGAUGACGGUAGCAUCUAAAGAAGCCCCGGCUAACUUCGUGCCAGCAGCCGCGGUAAUACGAAGGGGGCAAGCGUUGUUCGGAAUUACUGGGCGUAAAGGGAGUGUAGGCGGUUUAGUAAGAUAGUGGUGAAAUCCCAGGGCUUAACUUUGGAAUUGCCAUUAUAACUAUUAGACUAGAAUUACAGAGAGGAUAGUGGAAUACCCAGUGUAGCGGUGAAAUGCUUAGAGAUCAUACAGAACACCGAUUGCGAAGGCAGCUUACCAAUCUAUAUCUGACGUUGAGGCACGAAAGCGUGGGGAGCAAACAGGAUUAGAUACCCUGGUAGUC
rnacentral:rRNA from 1 species